GCAUCCUUGGUGUAGUGGUAACACACUCCCUGCAUAUUCUGAGGUUAUAGAGAAAUUUGGGCAAGUCCAGGGUUUGAAUCCCUGGGGAUGCA